GAUCCUGGCUCAGAUUGAACGCUGGCGGCAUGCCUUACACAUGCAAGUCGAACGGCAGCACGGGAGCUUGCUCCUGGUGGCGAGUGGCGAACGGGUGAGUAAUACAUCGGAACGUACCCUGAAGUGGGGAUAACGUAGCGAAAGUUACGCUAAUACCGCAUAUUCUGUGAGCAGGAAAGCAGGGGACCGCAAGGCCUUGCGCUCUUUGAGCGGCCGAUGUCAGAUUAGCUAGUUGGUGAGGUAAAGGCUUACCAAGGCGACGAUCUGUAGCGGGUCUGAGAGGAUGAUCCGCCACACUGGAACUGAGACACGGUCCAGACUCCUACGGGAGGCAGCAGUGGGGAAUUUUGGACAAUGGGCGCAAGCCUGAUCCAGCCAUGCCGCGUGAGUGAAGAAGGCCUUCGGGUUGUAAAGCUCUUUCGGCCGGGAAGAAAUCGCAUGGGUUAAUACCCUGUGUGGAUGACGGUACCGGAAUAAGAAGCACCGGCUAACUACGUG
rnacentral:rRNA from 1 species